GUCUUGACCAAAUCUUGUGCCAGCAGUCGCGGCAAUACAAGUAAGACUAGUGUUAUUCAUCUUAAUUAGGUUUAAAGGGUACCUAGACAGUAUUUCUAGCCUCCAAAGGGAACAGAUUUACUAGAGUUUUAUGUGAGAGGAAAAUAUUAGAACCAUUGGAGUAGUGAUAAAAUGUUUUGAUACUAAUGGGACGGAUAACGGCGAAGGCAAACCUCUAUGUAAUAACUGACGUUGAGGGACGAAGGCUUGGG
rfam:Triticum urartu cultivar G1812 contig1369890, whole genome shotgun sequence.